GGACUACAGGGGUAUCUAAUCCCGUUUGCUCCCCUGGCUUUCGCGUCUCAGCGUCAGGUGGGGUCCAGGAGCCCGCUUUCGCCACGGGCGUUCCUUCCGAUCUCAACGCAUUUCACCGCUCCACCGGAAGUUCCGGCUCCCCCUACCCCCCUCCAGGCCGGUCGUAUCGAGGCCACUUCCCCGGUUGAGCCGGGGGAUUUCAGCACUCGACGUGCCGGCCCGCCUACACGCGCUUUAAGCCCAGUGAUUCCGAAUAACGUUCGCACGGUUCGUCUUACCGCGGCUGCUGGCAC
rnacentral:rRNA from 1 species